AGUCAAUGACUCAGGGUAGCCACCGAACAUGAUGCUCGGGCAGUGGGUGCCACCUGGACUCCACUCUCCCCUCUCUCUGGGAUCAUAGAGUCCAAGGUGUUCUGUGGCCUCUCGGCCAAUCCCAGCAGCUCAGCGUGCAGAAGACCGAGGAGCCAUUGGUCAGUGUAGGAGGUGCCUGGAGUUUUGGAGAUGGGAUCCACAGGAAUUCAACACAACACGAAAUAAUCAACAAAUUCGGGGAAUGUUAAUCUGACCAUCACCAGUUACAAAUGAUGUUUCAUGCUACCUUCUAUUCCUGCCUUCAUAAAUCAAGCUCUAAAUCUCCAGGAAAAAAUGUGCUCAGGAUGGCCAGAGAAAUGUCCUUCCAACUGUGCAUGGAAAGGUAUGAUUUUGUGCAGCAGGUGAAGGACUGGUUAGAGUAAGUGUGUGCUGAGCUUUUGUGUUUGAAAGCGAGCCUGUGCACUUCUAACGAUUGGAAGGUUUCCUUGCCUUCUCCGAUCUUACACACAGCAAGGACAGCAAAGCCUUCCAGACCUGCCUGUGACAUGCACUGCACAUUCUAAAGAUGCCUAUGCAAUGGAAAACACCACUGUCUGCUCCAGCACAGCUGCCAUUCUUCCAUCUUAUCGACCUUAAUGCAACAACUCCUCACAGGCAGAGAUUUUAAAAUGUGUUCUUGGCAGAAGAGAGACUCAAAGAUGGGACAAAUGUGUCAUUUAAAUGCCUGUUAAAAUGGAAACAGACAUAGUAUAGUCAGAGGAUUGUGGCAGCUAAGAACAUAGUCUCUGGAGCAAAUCUGCAUGGGUGGCAAUGCCAAGCACAUGAGGUCCUAGUUGUAUGAACUUAGGUAAGUACAGAGGGUUCAUACUUCUCUAUACCUCAUCUCUAAAUGGAGUCAAUAAAAGAACUUACCUUAGAA
rnacentral:lncRNA from 1 species